CAAAUUAUCCUCAUAAGUUUGACAAUAAGAGGAACCACAUUAUAAUUUAAUUAGCCAUAAUUUUUAUAAUGUGGUGGCACAAAAUCGGAGGCCCCGACUGUUUACUAAAAACACAAAUUCGAGCAAUGAUUAAGAUCAUAGUAUUCGAGUUGAAAUUUGCCCAAUGCCAUUAAUAUAAGAGAGGUAAUAGGAAACUGUUACUGAUCGAAAGUCUGGUUAAUAGCGGUCUUAACUAUGAGGAUCCUAAGGUAGCAAAAUAAGUUGGCCUUUAAAUGAGGUCUGGUAUCAAUAGUGUAACGAUGGUCUCACUGUCUCUACAACUUGCUCAGUGAAAUUGAAUUACCCGUGCAGAUGCGGGUUGCCUCCAGGUGGACGGGAAGACCCUAUGCAGCUUCACUG
rnacentral:rRNA from 1 species